GUGUAUCUGGGGCUUAACCCCAAGGCUGCGCCCGAACUUCCUGGUUAGAUGGCGCCAGGGGGAGGCGGAACUCCCGCGUAGCGGUGAAAUGCGUAGAUAUCGGGGGGAACACCGGAGGCGAAGGCGGCCUCUGGGCGCACCUGACGCUGAGGCCCGAAGGCUGGGGGAGCAAAGGGGAUUAGAUACCCCCGUAGUCCCAGCAGUAAACGAUGUGGGCUAGCGGUCUGGCCUUGAGGCUGGGUCGCGAAGGGAAACCGAUAAGCCCACCGCCUGGGGAGUACGCCCGCAAGGGUGAAACUCAAAGGAAUAGACGGGAGCCCGCACAAGCGGCGGAGCGCGUGGUUUAAUUCGAUGCUGACCGAAGAACCUCACCCGGGCUUGACAUCCCGCCGUCAAGCCUGCCCGAAAGGGUAGGUGAGCCUACCGGAGAGGUAGGCAGGCGGGACAGGAGCUGCACGGCUGUCGUCAGCUCGUGUCGUGAGAUGUUGGGUUAAGUCCCGCAACGAGCGCAACCCCUACCCAUAGUUGCCAGCGGGUCGCCCACGUAGGUGGGCGAUGCCGGGGACUCUAUGGGGACUGCCGGCGAGGAGCCGGAGGAAGGAGGGGACGACGUCAAGUCCGUGUGGCCCUUAUGUCCGGGGCUACACACGCGCUACAAUGGGCGGUACAGAGGGAAGCGACCCCGCGAGGGGGAGCAAAUCCCUAAAACCGCCCCCAGUUCGGAUUGCAGGCUGAAACCCGCCUGCAUGAAGGAGGAGUCGCUAGUAAUCACCUAUCAGCUAUGGGGUGGUGAAUACGUUCCCGGGCUCUGUACUCACCGCCCGUCACGCCAUGGGAGCCGGGGGUGCCUGAAGCCCCACCGA
rnacentral:rRNA from 1 species